rnacentral:tRNA from 1 species
AGUGCGAUGGCCGAGUGGUUAAGGCGUUGGACUUAAGUUCCAAUGAACGUAAGUCCUUGUGGGUUCGAACCUCUCUCGCGCCA